rnacentral:rRNA from 1 species
UACGAAGGGGGCUAGCGUUGUUCGGAUUUACUGGGCGUAAAGCGCACGUAGGCGGAUCUUUAAGUCAGAGGUGAAAUCCCAAGGCUCAACCUUGGAACUGCCUUUGAUACUGGGGAUCUCGAGUUCGGGAGAGGUGAGUGGAACUGCGAGUGUAGAGGUGAAAUUCGUAGAUAUUCGCAAGAACACCAGUGGCGAAGGCGGCUCACUGGCCCGAUACUGACGCUGAGGUGCGAAGGUCAGGGGAGCAAACGGG